rnacentral:rRNA from 1 species
UUUAGUGGCGAACGGGUGCGUAAUACGUGAGAAUCUGCCCUUAGGAGGAGGAUAACUGCUGGAAACGGCUGCUAACACUCCAUAUGUCGAGAGAUGAAAUAAUUUAUUGCCUAAGGAUGAGCUCGCGCCUGAUUAGCUAGUUGGUGAGGUAAUGGCUCACCAAGGCCACGAUCAGUAGCUGGUUUGAGAGAACGAUCAGCCACACUGGGACUGAGACACGGCCCAGACUCCUCCGGGAGGCAGCAGUGAGGAAUUUUCCGCAAUGGGCGAAAGCCUGACGGAGCAAUACCGCGUGAGGGAUGAAGGAUUUUGGUCUGUAAACCUCUUUUCUCAAGAAAGAAGUUCUGACGGUACUUGAGGAAUAAGCAUCGGCUAACUCCGUGCCAGCAGCCGCGGUAAUACGGGGGAUGCAAGCGUUAUCCGGAAUCAUUGGGCGUAAAGCGCCUGUAGGUUGUUUAAUAAGUCUGUUGUUAAAGACUAGGGCUUAACCCUAGAAAAGCAAUGGAAACUACUAGACUAGAGUAUGGCAGGGGUAGAGGGAAUUUCUAGUGUAGCGGUGAAAUGCGUAGAUAUUAGGAAGAACACCGGUGGCGAAAGCGCUCUACUGGACCAUUACUGACACUCAGAGGCGAAAGCUAGGGUAGCAAAAGGGAUUAGAUACCCCUGUAGUCCUAGCCGUAAACGAUGGAUACUAGAUGUUGUGCUUAUAGUACAGUGUCCUAGCUAACGCGUUAAGUAUCCCGCCUGGGGAGUACGCUCGCAAGGGUGAAACUCAAAGGAAUUGACGGGGGCCCGCA